rnacentral:rRNA from 1 species
AGAUUGAACGCUGGCGGCAGGCCUAACACAUGCAAGUCGAGCGGCAGCACGGGUACUUGUACCUGGUGGCGAGCGGCGGACGGGUGAGUAAUGCCUAGGAAUCUGCCUGAUAGUGGGGGAUAACGUUCGGAAACGGACGCUAAUACCGCAUACGUCCUACGGGAGAAAGUGGGGGAUCGUUCGGACCUCACGCUAUCAGAUGAGCCUAGGUCGGAUUAGCUAGUUGGUAGGGUAAA